rnacentral:tRNA from 1 species
GGAAGUGUAGCUCAGUGGUAAAGCACUUGCCUAGCAUACUCAAGUGCCUGUAGUUCAUCCCUAGCAUGAAGAAGAAGGAAAAGUCUUUCCAUUUCCU